GAAAUACUCCCCCCGUCCAAAAAUUCUUGUCUUAGAUUUGUCUAAAUACGGAUGUAUCAAGUCACGUUUUAGUAUUAGGUACAUCUGUAUCUAGACAAAUUUAAGACAAGAAUUUUGGGACGGAGGGAGUAUCAG
rnacentral:pre_miRNA from 1 species